AGGAGAUUUGCAAACUCAUCAGAUGGAGACAGUGUACAAAAGAAGCAGGCAGAUUUAGAUUUCAUUCUGCCUCUGGUCAGUUUUGAAACUCAGAAGGCUUCCCCUUGUGUGCUCUGUGGAUCCCAGCAAGCUACGUUUGACACAUACUGACACACACACAAGCAAUUUACAGGCAUCUUUCUGCUGCUCAGAGGAAGAUUCAGAAAUCACAUUGAUCUGAAACAGCAUCAUCUGGGAGCUUGUCAGAGAUCCACAGUCUCAAGCCUCCACCCCAGAACCACUGAGACAGAGUCUGAAGUUUUAAAGUCUCCAGGAGAUUUGUACACAUGUCAAGUCUAAGAAGCAAAGCGGUAGAACACAUUUU
ensembl:lncRNA